rnacentral:rRNA from 1 species
CGUACACAAAAAUGCACAUGCUGUGAGCUCGAUGAGUAGGGCGGGACACGUGGUAUCCUGUCUGAAUAUGGGGGGACCAUCCUCCAAGGCUAAAUACUCCUGACUGACCGAUAGUGAACCAGUACCGUGAGGGAAAGGCGAAAAGAACCCCGGCGAGGGGAGUGAAAAAGAACCUGAAACCGUGUACGUACAAGCAGUGGGAGCACGCUUAGGCGUGUGACUGCGUACCUUUUGUAUAAUGGGUCAGCGACUUAUAUUCUGUAGCAAGGUUAACCGAAUAGGGGAGCCGAAGGGAAACCGAGUCUUAACUGGGCGUUAAGUUGCAGGGUAUAGACCCGAAACCCGGUGAUCUAGCCAUGGGCAGGUUGAAGGUUGGGUAACACUAACUGGAGGACCGAACCGACUAAUGUUGAAAAAUUAGCGGAUGACUUGUGGCUGGGGGUGAAAGGCCAAUCAAACCGGGAGAUAGCUGGUUCUCCCCGAAAGCUAUUUAGGUAGCGCCUCGUGAAUUCAUCUCCGGGGGUAGAGCACUGUUUCGGCAAGGGGGUCAUCCCGACUUACCAACCCGAUGCAAACUGCGAAUACCGGAGAAUGUUAUCACGGGAGACACACGGCGGGUGCUAACGUCCGUCGUGAAGAGGGAAACAACCCAGACCGCCAGCUAAGGUCCCAAAGUCAUGGUUAAGUGGGAAACGAUGUGGGAAGGCCCAGACAGCCAGGAUGUUGGCUUAGAAGCAGCCAUCAUUUAAAGAAAGCGUAAUAGCUCACUGGUCGAGUCGGCCUGCGCGGAAGAUGUAACGGGGCUAAACCAUGCACCGAAGCUGCGGCAGCGACGCUGAUGCGUUGUUGGGUA